rnacentral:rRNA from 1 species
UCGAGGAUCUUCGGCAAUGGGCGCAAGCCUGACCGAGCGACGCCGCGUGAGCGAUGAAGGCCUUCGGGUCGUAAAGCUCUGUCGGGGGGGAGAAAGGGGCAACCUUGAUCGACCCCCGGAGGAAGCACGGGCUAAGUUCGUGCCAGCAGCCGCGGUAAGACGAACCGUGCGAACGUUAUUCGGAAUCACUGGGCUUAAAGGGCGCGUAGGCGGGCCUCCAAGUCAGGGGUGAAAGCCCACGGCUCAACCGUGGAAGUGCCUUUGAUACUGGGGGCCUCGAGGGGUGCAGGGGCAUGCGGAACUUCGGGUGGAGCGGUGAAAUGCGUAGAUAUCCGAAGGAACACCGGUGGCGAAAGCGGCGUGCUGGACACCUACUGACGCUGAGGCGCGAAAGCCAGGGGAGCGAACG